UAUACACACAAUGUAUGGUGACACCUUCAUACAGAGGUAUGCACACUCUAUGGUGACACCCUCAUACAGAGGUAUACACACACUAUGUAUGGUGACACCUUCAUACAGAGGUAUACACACUCAAAGGUGACACCCUCAUACAGAGGUAUACACACACUAUGUAUGUUGACAACUUCAUACAGAGGUAUACACACACUAUGUAUGGUGACACCUUCAUACAGAGGUAUACACACUCUAUGUAUGGUGACACCUUCAUACAGAGGUAUACACACUCUAUGGUGACACCCUCAUACAGAGGUAUACACACACUAUGUAUGGUGACACCUUCAUACAGAGGUAUACACACUCAAAGGUGACACCCUCAUACAGAGGUAUACACACUCUAUGUAUGUUGACACACUCAUACAGAGGUAUACACACUCUAUGGUGACACCCUCAUACAGAGGUAUACACACACUAUGUAUGGUGACACCUUCAUACAGAGGUAUACACACUCUAAGGUGACACCCUCAUACAGAGGUAUACACACACUAUGUAUUGUGACACCUUCAUAGAGAGGUAUACACACUCUAUGGUUACACGUCACACAGAGGUAUACACACGGUGUGCAAUGAUGCUCCGGCCCUUCUUUUAUCCCCUUAAAUGUUGAUGAUAGGAAAGAACCUUGGACUUCGGCAAUGAAAUCCCCAUCGGGCCCUGCAAAUAUUCUGUACUUCUUAAGACUCCUGGAAGCUUUAAGUGGUAUUUUAACGAAACAAAAUGGUAACACUGACUGGAACCGCGCAUCAAUUAGCACAUUUUGUUACAACACCUUUUCUUCUGAUCCUUGUGCACGUUCCUGUUUAUUUAAGACAUGCCAUUGAAUAAUGGUGUUACUGAUGAAUAACUACAAACUAUACCAGUAAACCAAUGUUUUGUCUAUGUCCCUUGAUGUUUCUUCUGUGUAUAGCCAGAUGAACAUCCCCUUCAAUGUUGGGCUGUUCUCAAACAUCAGUUACUCCAGCAAUAAAGGUAUUUUCAGUACAGAAACA